rnacentral:lncRNA from 1 species
AAUCUUUUUUUUUGGGGGGUAUUAUUUAUAUUUUUAUAAAUAAUAUUCUUUACACCAGAAAUGUUAUUUUUAAACAAGCGUAUGAGUUAAGUAAUGACUAGUAUAUUAUAUCACUUUCGGACACGCAAGACAGAGAUGUAUAUUAUACACCUGAUAGUUCAAAAUGGAAAGUUAUAAGUUAUCGGCCGUGUACACUGAUCAAUACCUACAGAAGUGAAACGAUGCAUGAACUUGCAAGCCCGACAGGAAAUCGCUUGAAUACCUGGACGUGUCACCUCACACCCCUCACAAUACCUUUAGCCAUGCUGGUGAUCAGAUGAGGGAAGAUCCGAAUUUAUUUGAAUAAAGUUUAUUACUUUAAAGAAUUAUGAACGAAUUAGAUUUUCGAAAACAAUUUUCACGGAACACUU